GUCGGGAAUAUUGCACAAUGGAGGAAACUCUGAUGCAGUGACGCCGCGUGCAGGAAGAAGGUUUUAGGAUUGUAAACUGCUUUAGACAGGGAAGAAAAAAGACAGUACCUGUAGAAUAAGCUCCGGCUAACUACGUGCCAGCAGCCGCGGUAAUACGUAGGGAGCGAGCGUUAUCCGGAAUUAUUGGGUGUAAAGGGUGCGUAGACGGGUAAAUAAGUUAGUUGUGAAAUCCCUCGGCUCAACUGAGGAACUGCAACUAAAACUGUAUAUCUUGAGUGCGGGAGAGGAAAGUGGAAUUCCUAGUGUAGCGGUGAAAUGCGUAGAUAUUAGGAGGAACACCAGUGGCGAAGGCGACUUUCUGGACCGUAACUGACGUUGAGGCACGAAAGUGUGGGGAGCAAACAGGA
rnacentral:rRNA from 1 species